AAAGAUGGAGGGAGGUGCUUCUUUUCCUGGGGACUUGCAAAUGGGAAAUACUUCCUGGAGUUGUGGCUGACCUGAUUUGGGUGCCUUUCUCCCAAGGCACAGCAACACAAUUUUGGGAUUAACACAGUCCCCAUUCUACUCAUUUCAGAGAGGCCUCGAGUCCUCUGGAACAUCCUGAUAUUGAACCAGAUGCCAAGGAAGUUUAGAUCAAUUGCAACAUGUAUUUCUACUAUACAAGCACCUGAGAAAGGAGGAGUCCUAUUAAAUACAGCUGGUCAAGUCUCAGAAGAGGUCAUUCUUGAUGAAAUAGUCAAACACAGUGACUGAGAGAUGCGACAAGUUCCUAAGCCUGAGAGGUUUCUUCGAAGUUUUACCUGCCCCGCUGAAUAUGUGCCUAGAUGACAUGGGACAAAAAUCAGUGUAAAUAAAAUGUUUUUUUUUAUGAGUAUAAAUCUCAUUGUUAGGAAGAAGAAAACC